rnacentral:rRNA from 1 species
GUAAACCCAGACAGCAAACCCGCUGCCCGCCAGAGUAUUACAAGUGAAAAACUUAAAACUCAAAGGACUUGACGGCACUCCACAUCACACUAGAGGAGCCUGUCCUAUAAUCGAUAACCCACGUUAUACCUCACCUGCCCUUGCACCCAGCCUAUAUACCGCCGCCCACCGCCCGCCUUACAAAAGCACCACAGCGGGCCAACCAGACCGCUGACACGUCAGGUCAAGGUGUAGCUUACGGGCAGGAAGAGAUGGGCUACAUUUUCUGCCCCAGCAGAACACACCACCAGCACCAUGCAAUUGUGCCAUAAAGGAGGAUUUANCAGUAAGCUGGGCAAGACAGCCCAACUGAA